UGCCGAGCGGAGCUGACGCCCGGGCGAGCGCGGCGGGUUCGGGGCCCGGCUUCGGUCCCUGGGGCGGGCUCCUCCAGCCCUACGCCCCGGCCGGCGCGGCCUUGGGAGGGCGCUGCUGGGGCGCUCUCCAGGCCGGCGGGGGCGGAGCCUGGGCCGCCCCCUGCCGGCUUUGCCUGGCCGAGCAGCUCCGGGAGCGCAGCCGGCUUGCAGGACCAGCAGCAGCAGCAGCAGCAGCAGCAGGUGCGCUUCUGCCGCUGCGGCGUCCCAUGAUGUGCCUGGAGAGCGACGGCGCGGCGGGCGGCGGCCCUCCCGGCUGCGGCGGCCGGUUCCGCGUGCCGGCGGCCGGCGACGACGAGGAGGAGGACGACGGCGGAGGAGGAGGCGGCGGAGGAGGAGGGGGGGACCGCGGCUGCUGCGGCCGGGGCGGCGAGGUGCAGACCCUCUCCGGCGCCGUCCGUGCGCCCAAGGCGGCCCCGGCGGCGGCGCCCAGCCUGGGCAGAGCGCGCGUGGCCGCGGCCGGCAUCCUCAGCGUGGGCAACGUGCUCAACUACCUGGACAGGUACACGGUGGCAGGGGUCUUACUGGACAUCCAGCAACACUUUGGAGUCAAAGACAGCGGAGCCGGCUUGUUGCAAACGGUUUUCAUCUGUAGUUUCAUGGUGGCAGCACCAAUAUUUGGUUACCUUGGUGACCGUUUCAACCGGAAGAUUAUUCUGAGCUGCGGGAUCUUUUUCUGGUCUGCAAUCACUUUUUCCAGCUCCUUCAUCACAGAGCAGUAUUUCUGGCUCUUCGUCCUCUCGCGAGGCUUGGUUGGAAUUGGCGAAGCCAGUUACUCUACCAUCGCCCCCACCAUCAUUGGAGACCUCUUUACCAAAAACACCCGGACGCUGAUGCUCUCCGUCUUCUAUUUCGCAAUCCCCCUGGGCAGCGGUUUAGGGUAUAUCACCGGAUCAAGUGUCAAGCAAGUAGCUGGCGACUGGCACUGGGCCCUGCGGGUCUCUCCACUUUUAGGAAUGAUCACGGGGACUCUCAUCUUGAUAUUUGUUCCUGCUGCUAAGAGAGGCAACGCUGAACAACUGGGGGCACAGCUGAAGGCUCGAACCUCCUGGCUGAGAGACAUGAAGGCCCUGAUAAGAAAUCGCAGCUAUGUGUUCUCCUCCCUGGCUACCUCGGCUGUCUCGUUUGCCACGGGGGCUCUGGGAAUGUGGAUCCCCCUCUACCUCCACCGAGCACAGGUGGUCCAAAAAACAGCAGAGACGUGCACAUCGCAGCCCUGUGGGACCAAGGACAGUUUGAUUUUUGGAGCCAUCACCUGCUUCACCGGUUUCCUGGGUGUGAUCACCGGGGCCGGGGCUACCAAGUGGUGCCGGUUGAAAACUCAGCGUGCGGACCCUCUUGUGUGUGCCGUGGGAAUGCUGGGAUCAGCCAUCUUCACCUGCCUAAUCUUCGUUGCAGCCAAGAGCAGCAUUGUGGGAGCCUACGUCUGCAUUUUCAUCGGUGAAACUCUCCUCUUCUCCAACUGGGCCAUUACAGCAGACAUACUGAUGUAUGUGGUCAUCCCGACACGCCGGGCUACAGCUGUGGCUUUGCAAAGUUUUACAUCGCACCUUCUGGGAGACGCAGGAAGUCCCUACCUGAUUGGAUUUAUCUCCGACUUGAUACGCCAGAGCACAAAGGAGUCCCCGCUCUGGGAAUUCCUCAGCUUAGGCUACGCUCUCAUGCUGUGCCCUUUUGUUGUCGUCCUGGGGGGGAUGUUUUUCCUAGCCACGGCCCUCUUCUUCCUAAGCGAUCGAGCCAAAGCUGAACAACAUGCUGAAACUGAUUUGGAUCACCUCCCUGUUGGCAACUCCAGUAACUCGGAAGAUUCUACCGCAUAAUAGCCACAAGAGCUUUUUAGGGGGUAAAUCAACUCAUGAUGCCUACAGCUUCUGUGAAAGUCUAAGGCGCUGCCAUCUCAGACGAUGAAGGAGACCUUUUGUGAUCUCUGGCUGCCGCAAGACGUCAAAAUGGCCACCUGCGUGGCGGCCUCCCACCCUCCCCUCCAGCCUCUCUGUAGUUGGAGCCAAAGGAAAAUUCAGAUGCGGACUGUAUUGGCUGUGGCUACGUCAACGGUGCAUGUGGACACACUUAAUCUACAUCAGCGAAGGAUCAUCCUCACCCGUGCCCAGAGGGACCCUUCUGGCUUGAGUUGUCCCCUCACCUCGAAGGUUGUGGUACAGCUGUCCUUUCAGCCAAUUGCUAUCCUUGCCUUGUUCAUUGAGACGAAUCUCCAUCGUAUUUAAAACCCGGAUGCCUUCGCCAGCAAUCCCAUUUCCAGCCAGAGACGUUAUCCCAGCGGGAGAAGCAAGUGUUGGCCAAGUACACGUUUGCUAUUCAGUCGUCUCGUAGGAGACUCUCUUCCCCUCCUUGCAGAAGGCUAAAGAGAGGGGACUAGAUGGACUUUUUUUCUUUUUAAAUUAAAUUUUAUCUGCAUUAAGAGUUUACUGCUGGAACUACCUCGGGCCAGCAGCAAUUUUAUGUCAAAUUUCCAGUCGGAAAUCCAGGAGUAAAUUUAAUAUUUGUGGGUAAGGGGGGAGGCUUGAGGGAAAAUAAUACAUCAGGUAGCGUGAACGGUUCUCCACGCUAAUGCUACCGGUCCCACAAGGCAGAAAGAGUUGGAUAGAGGGACCGUUUCUCAGAGGCAACAUCCUCCCCAUUCUGCUCAGUGCAAAGGAUUGUGAAAAAGCUGCUACAGUUUUGCCAGCCUUGGGGUGGGGUGUGGGGGGGGGGAGAAGGGGGGCUAAGCAGAGAGGAACGGGGGCCUUAACAUUUUGUAUUUACUUUUGGAAUAUGCCGCUGAAGUUUACACUGCAGGAGUAUGAUUGCUGGCUGCUGUUUGCAAACAGCCAUGCGAUCAAGUUUUGGUGAAGGCCAGCUGGUCUGAGACCCACCCUCCGAUACCCAUCCUUCAGUUUCCACCGCUCAGUUCUGUGCUACAGUCCCUGUUCCAUGGAGGCUGUAGGAAGAGAGGAAGACAACAAGCGACAAACUUCCAUCUAAAGGAAGAAUUCAGCAGGCUGUUCCUGAUCUCGUUCGGCCAAGUGGUGAAGAUUACGGGGUUAACAGUCCCAAAUUCUACACAGUGGGAGUUUGGAUGGAUUUUGUUACAGAUCUCUCUCUCUCAUAUUCAGGUUUCAGCCACUUGCCUGGAUUAGGGGCUGUGGCUAUCCGACAUAGACUCUUGAUUUGCAUGCAGAAAGGCCUGGAUUCACUUGCCAGAUAGAGAAUUGCAGACAGCAGGUACUGAGAAAGAUCUUUCUUUGUGAUCUAGGAACGCUGCCGCCAGGCAGUGUAGACAGACCUGAAUUAGACCUGAAUUCCAGCUUGGUGCAAAGGACGUCUUUUUAUAUGUUCGACUAAUUCGUUUCGGCCAGUUGUUCCUGGGAGCAUUUCCUAAUAUUCUCAAACAACAGGCGGGCUGAUUUGCAAAGCGAUUCUCCUCCAGCUGCGUGGGACCAAGCCCUGUGCUGAAUCACUGCUAAACGAAACCUACCGAUUCAACCCACGUGGCGAAUAGAGUUCAGCGCGAAACCCUUCUAAGUAACUUAAGCACCUUUUGGAGGUCUUUCCUGUCCCAUUUUUAUUGGUGCUACCGUUGCGAGGGAAACUGCCAUCCAGAAGAGCGCUAAUAAAUGCAAAACUUGACCUAAAGUAAUAUCGCUAUUUAACUGUCCAGUGUUGAGGCAGUGGGAACUUGAUGGCAAACCUCUGCGCUGCAGUGAACGCUUCAUCAGACAAAAAUGGGGGGGGGGGGAAUCAGAUGUGCAGACUUUAAACACUGCAGAAAUGCAGCCAGGAGUUGGAAAAUAUUGGUGUUCCUAUCUGAACCUCAGCCACAAAAGAGCAUCAGGAGAACGAAUGAUUAUAGUAUAAACAAACAUCUCAAAGGGUAUCCCUGCAACCUGGGAAGAUAAUGCUUCCCCCCGCCCCCUUUCCCAUCUUUUCCCCAUCCCAUAAUUAUUGGAUUUGUCACUUGCUGUGCCGUUUCCACUUAACCGCUUUGACAACAUGAAAGAUUGGGGGAGCGUUAAUAUAUGUUUUUCUUGUUAUACAAGGCAGGACUCGAUUGUUUUCUGAUUUCUUUCAGAAGAAUAUCUAUAUAUAUAUAUAUUCAAAUGGCUAUUUUAUUUUUUAAGAGCAAUGAAACGGAUGGUGAAUUUCAGAGUAUAAAGAAAAAAAUAGUCCAAUAUAUAUACUUAUUAUAUAUUAAAAAUAUAGACAUGUUUAUGUAAAUUAAGAAAUAAAAAAAUAUUUAAACACAACCCUUGCCUUCCCUGUCUUUUUUUUUCAUUCGCUGUCCUGCUGUUGCCACCACUUAAAAGGUGUCUGG